AAGUUAGGAGAAAUUCUAUGUGGUCAGAGUCCUUGUGGGCCUAGAAUCCAGGCUUGGAGUUUGCUGAUGUCUAGUUGGAUAUGACAAAGUUCUGGAAAAAUGGAUUUUUUUCACUUGUGCAGGCUUGGCAGAUGGUACUCUUCAGCCUUUGGGACAAUGUCCAGUUGUCCUCUGGAUUAGGACUCUUCUGAAGGAAUCAGAAAUGAUAGGACUUAUCUUUCCCCAGACCAGAAAGUAUAGGCUAAAUAACAGUUCUGAAUUAGCUUUGGCUUUUGCUAAGCAUGAAGCACCCCUUAGGCCUGGCAUAGAUCCCUUCUAAGGUAAGUGCCCAUACAGUCCUCAGUAAGUUGUGAUUGCUGUGGAUUAGAAGGCUGCCUCUGUCAUUCAUCAUGGCGUCGUGUCUUCCAUUUGGCUGGAGAAGGGAAGCUGAAUUCAUUGAUAGAAAUCAUUUAGCCUAGGAAUUUGCAUUUAUAACUUGUUUGUCCCACAUGAAAAAGCAAGAUGGGAAAUUUAAGUAUAGCA
rnacentral:lncRNA from 1 species